UGGGCUCUGUUUCCCAGCUUUCAGAUGAGUCCCACACCAUCUCGUGAGGACAAAGAUGGCUGCCACUUAGCAAAUGCCGCUGGAGUGAAAGACCUCUUCUGGAGAAGUCCCAGGGAUGUCCUCACUGGUCUGGCUUGGUUCAUGUUGUUACUGGAGUUUUGAGGCACUUCCACAGCCAGAACGUGGUCUUCUUGAACUGCAUGGAGAUGGAGCUCAGCGGCCCUCGACAGGAGCCUCCUGUGACCUGGAACAAGUGCAGCAAGUCCAGAGCUGGCCUGUCCAUUCCAUAGCCACAGCUCCUCCUGUUCCACCUCCUGCCGAGUCUGCCCACUCUGAAUGCUACCUGAUGCCGUGCCAGAAGGGCUGCCAAUGUGACUUAGAUUUUGUGCUUAGCAGCAUGGAUUGUGUGCCCCCCCCCCCAGUGCAGCUGCUCCUUGGGGGACAGAUAGCACCCAGCCAGGGAGGCCUUCUGGGUUGGGGAGCACGGUGAACAGUUCUACUGUUGAGAGCCUUCCAGCCACACUGUGACCACACCCUGUCCUCUCCUUGGCCUAGGCUGGGAUGCAGACACUCAGGGGCAUCUCCAGGGCCAUGCACACUCCCCUGACAUUUGCCAGGCAUCCGGGCACUGGCACAUUAUCUCCUGUGAUGGGAGGACUGCCAAGUCCCCAGGCACCUGUGUCUCUCUGUCUUUGCCAAGUUCUGGCUCUGCUGUCCCCUUACCCUUCUUUCAGGAGGAGCUGAGGAAGGUGAACAGGGCCAGCAGCCCCUGGCUCCCAUCUGGGAGCUGUCUAUCCAGGUCCCUGGGAGGCAGCUUUGUCUGCAGAGAGCAAGCUGGCUGAGGUUUGCACCAUCAACAUCUAGAGACCCUUACUCUUGGACUGACCUAAGUUAAAAGAAAUGCGUUGGCUCAACCACGUGAAAACCACGUGGUAAGUGCAGUGAUCUGAUCUACAGAACUUUUCUGUACGUCAGUGUGGUUAUUUGGCCUACAAUUAUGGAAAGCCUCGUUCAAAUUAAAUCAAGCAAAUCAAAUUUGGAGAUUUCCUAUUCCUAACUGAAUAUUCCAUAGUGGGGAUCAGGCAUGGGGUGAUGAAAGCAUGGACCUGGUUUCUCAAUAUUUCUCUUGGUCUGUAGUAUCAUUAGCUUAGUCAUCGGACUGCGCUUUUUGUUUUUGUUUUCUGGGGACAAAAUGACAGCAGAGUUACUAUGCUUCAAAGGUGUAUUUUUCACUGUCAAAAAUCCACAUAUUUCCUUACCUGAUGUAUUAAAAUUUCCUCCCUCUCCUCCCCUUUCUUUCCCUCCCUUCCUUUCUCUUGCAGUACUGGAACGGAACCCAGUACAUGUUAGGAAAAAGUCCUCCACCGCUGAGUUACAUUGCCAGCCCUUUUAAAAAUACUUUUCCGUGACGGAGUCGCUCCAACCCAGGCUGGCCUCGAAUUUCGAUCCCCUGCCUCAUUCUCCAGAACCGCUGGGAUUACAGGGCUGCAGCACCCCGUUUUGAUCAAAAUUUGUAUACUUCACUUUCAUUGGCCCGCACUGAGCCAAUCACUGGGGCCCAGCGGUCGUUUUAAGCCUAUUAGAUCCUAUCCUCAUGAGCAGUAGGUGGGACAGAUCCCUUAGCAAACCUCCUUGCGGCUCCUCCGGGCAGGGGAGGUAAAGUGGGACAUGUCCCCUAAACCAGUAUUUCUUGUCGCGACCAUCCUCAAAGAAAGUUCCCUAGUGAACUUCCCCUCUGAGACCGGAAGCUUCGGGUGGGUUGUGUUCCACGCCCAAGGGGCCCUGCAUACAAGAGUAUCUUUGUUGGCUGCUGGAAAGCACACAGUCACACCCAUCCCGCUCCACCCCCUUCCGGGAAGGGAACUAGCUUUCAGCUGGAGGGCUGCGGUCAGCUUAUGCAUAACCAGCCCAUUGAAUCCAAAGGGCAGCCCUGCAGGGACCGCUGUUAUUAUCCCAGCUGUACAGAUGGGGAAACUGAGGCUCGGGCGCGAAGCUGGAAUGCCUGAGGUCACACACACAAUGCGAAUGUGGUGGAGCUGGGAGGUGCGCCCAGGCCGUUGGCACUGAGUUCCUUCCUUCUCCACCUGCAGGCCUGGGGGCCCUGGGACGGAAGGAGGGUGGGGAAGGAGGGUGGGGUUCAUGAGUCAUCUGUUUUCGCCUGGUGUAGAAUGAAUAACCCUCAAGUAUGGUUUUCAUUGUUUUUUGUACAGGGGAGUGAAUCCAGAGCCUUCACACUGAACUGCAUCCCCAUCCCUUUUUAAACAUUAUUUACAGAGUCUCCUUAGGUGGUUAAAUUGCUGAGGCUGAGCUCAAAGUUGUCAUUUUCUUGCCUUAGCCUCCCAGAGUGCUAGGAUUAUUUCCUGGACAU